GGAUAUGAGGGUGAUCUGGCUGAGACGUCUGUUACCCUAUUGAUCGCCAGGGUUGAUUCGGCUGACCUGGCUGGCUAGGCGUGUGUGCUCUUCUUCGCUCACCGCUCUAUGUGCAUCCCUCCUGUCCCUCCCUAAGUGCACGCUCCGUGGAAGAGGUCGUCCCCCAGAGAAGAGGACCAGUCUUUGAGCAAAGGUAUAGGAGUAGCUGCACCCCCAUGAUACACUCUCCAAACAAGCUCUUUUGUUUUUUAAGACGGAGUCUCACUCUGUCGCUAGGCUGAAGUG
rnacentral:snRNA from 10 species